ACCGCGCAUUUUCUCAAGCUACAGGGCGUGACAAAAUGACAAAUUUUGUAUGGAUUAUACAGGAAAAAACACAAUUUUGUGAUUAGAAACUAAACAAAAUGAUAGAAUUGUUAAAUACUUAAGGAAAAGAUAGCUUUCAGACAAUGCUUUGAGAAUAUCAAAAGAAAAGAUAGGGUCACCGUACGUUUUUUCCGGCUAAAAUACAAAAUAGGAAAAUUCUAUGUAGAAUCCUUCAGAAAAUGCACUGUUUUAGAGUUACCUCCCCUUAAAAUGCCAAUUUAAUUUAUUUUUAAAAACAACCAAAAAUAAUCAUCAUUUGCAAAAAUAUCAAUAUUUAUAAGUUAUAUUCUUAUAAAUUAGUUCUUUUAAAUAAAAAUUCACAUUAAAUAUCUGCAUUCCUGCAUCAAAUUUUGCUAACUUGAUAAAAAAUCUGGACCUUUGGUUCUCUGUUUUUUACAAUUCAAGAUGGAGGAAGACACCCAUACCACC
rnacentral:lncRNA from 1 species